rfam:Hymenolepis nana genome assembly, scaffold: HNAJ_scaffold0002942
GUAAAGGUUUUUUUGAAAACCAUUAAAACUUAUUAAAAAGGUUAC